rnacentral:rRNA from 1 species
GCCCUUCAGGCCUAACACAUGCAAGUCGAACGGUAACAGCACUUCGGUGGCUGACGAGUGGCGAACGGGUGAGUAAUACAUCGGAACGUGCCCGAGAGUGGGGGAUAACGCAGCGAAAGCUGUGCUAAUACCGCAUACGAUCUACGGAUGAAAGCAGGGGACCGCAAGGCCCUGCGCUCAUGGAGCGGCCGAUGGCAGAUUAGGUAGUUGGUGGGANNAAAAGCUUACCAAGCCGACGAUCUGUAGCUGGUCUNAGANGANCNACCAGCCCANUUGGANUNGAANCACGGCCAGACUCCUACGGAGGCAGCAGUGGGGAAUUUUGGACAAUGGGCGAAGGCCUGAUCCAGCCAUGCCGCGUGCAGGAUGAAGGCCUUCGGGUUGUAAACUGCUUUUGUACGGAACGAAAAGUCUUUUCUAAUAAAGAAGGCUCAUGACGGUACCCGNAAGAAUAAGCACCGGCUUACUACGNGCCAGCAG